UAAAUCUUUGUUGAUGAACUAAAAUUUAUUGC
rnacentral:piRNA from 1 species